ACGACUUUACUUGAACAGGAUCUGUUCUAUAGGCUCGUACCUCUGUGUCCUUUAGUUCUACGGAGACAGGAUUCCAUGGCUGGUUGAUGAACAGAGACUGUGUGAUCAGAGCGUGAUUAUUGGUCCCACAGUCCUUGCUUAUAGGGACUCCAUUGGCCGCGGAGGAUCGUUCUCAGCAUUCCUUGUCUUGCUGGGAUGGUCACGCAGUUGUCUGACAGACU